rnacentral:rRNA from 1 species
UACAGAGGGUGCAAGCGUUAAUCGGAAUUACUGGGCGUAAAGCGCGCGUAGGCGGCUGUCUAAGUCGGGUGUGAAAGCCCCGGGCUCAACCUGGGAAUUGCAUUCGAUACUGGAUAGCUAGAGUUCGGCAGAGGGAAGUGGAAUUUCGGGUGUAGCGGUGAAAUGCGUAGAUAUCCGAAGGAACAUCAGUGGCGAAAGCGACUUCCUGGACCAGAACUGACGAUCAGGCACGAAAGCGUGGGGAGCAAACAGG